AUUGAUACAAAUUGAAGUUCGGUGAUCAAAGUGAAAAUGAGCCAAAGUUUAGUGACUUGCUAAAAAAUUUACCCUAAACCCUUUGCCUUCCCCCUCUAUUCUCACCGCUCAUCAACCCUUCUCAUCUCUCUCUCUCUCUCUCGAUUGAUUUCUAGGGUUUCUCCAUACUGUUCUUGAGAGAUAUCCCUCGAUGGAAGCUUCUCCUGCGACUUUGCUCUCCGCCGCCUCUUUGCCAGCUGCCCCACCCUCUGCUCCGACCCCAGACUCCGGCAAACCCUAAUCGGUGCUGUUCCCUAUGGCUUUAACACGGGUGGUGGUGGCUUCUUCCUUCUCGGCGGCAAGCUCUGAUCUCAUGGUGAAGGGUGUUGGAUCCAUUGCCGUGGAUGAGCUUCUCCGAAACAGUAGAGGAGAUGUGGAGGGAGAUGUCUGGUGGACGGAGGGGAGAGGAUGCAUGGGGAAAUUACGCUGGAGGAUUUUUUGGCGCGGGUUGGAGCGGUGAGGGACGAGGACGUUAGGGCGGUGGCGGGAUCGGUGUUUGGGGUGGAUCCGGUGGGUUUGGGGAUUAAGAAUCAGGUGUUAGGGUUUGGAAAUGGGGUGGAGGAUGGUGGAGAUUUGGGAAGUGGUGGGAGGGGGAGGAAAAGGCCGGUAAACAGUAAGUAUUUGACAUAGUUCUUAAUAUUCCUGCAAAUGGAUUGGGAACAAAAAUCAAUGAGGAUGGGAUUGCCUACUACAACAAUCUCAUUAAUUUCAUGGUAUUCAGCCUUGUGUGACGCUAUAUCAUUGGGAUCUUCCACAAAAUCUUCAUUAGUUGUGUGUAUUAAAUAUUAGAAAAUGUUGUCCCAAAUAACAUUAUUUUAUCACCUUUGCUGGUUAGGCUAUUUAGGAAAACAAUAACGAGCUGGGGAUGGUUCAGCAGCUGAAAGAUGAAAUUCGGAUACUUUCUGGACAACUGGUGAAUCUUCAAUUCACUAACAAAGACCCAAUAUCAAAUUUUGACAGAUCAAAGGUAAAGGGGGUGGUUGCAAAGCUGAUUAAAGUGAAUUGCAGUUCUGUAAUGACUGCCUUGGAGACUCAGAAAACACUGGGAAGCAGCUUCUCCAAAAUGGUGAUCUACGACGCUGAGUCACAAUUAUACCAUUGAACAAAAUUCAACCUUAUACUGUUCCGUUGAGUGUCCAGCAAGCUGCUGCUGGAGUGGUUGCUGAAGGAAAUGCAUAAUUGGCCCUUUUAUCGAAGGGGGUAUGAGGAUGAAGUGAAGGC